rnacentral:lncRNA from 1 species
GGGCAUUUCUUUCUACUACCGUACCCCCGUCUGAGAGAAAGGCACGGUUUUGCUCUUGCCCCAAAGAAAGGUUUAAGAAUUCCUCAAUAAAGGACAGAAGAGAGGACCACUUAAAGAGAGCUAAGCGACCGGUCUUCUUUAGAAAAAGCAUCUCAACGAAAGGCCUAAAAGAAAUGGAAAAUCAGGCACCACCUUUCGACACUGCCCUAAUGGGACGCCCCUACCAAGCCUGAUUUCCUCAAUCAAAUCCUACUGCGCCCUUGCUUUCUCUGAUCUCAAAAGCUUUGAAAGGUUUCCAUCAACGGGAGUUGUCUUGUCUUUUUUCCAUCCUCCCAAAACAAAAGAAGUCUCACCUGCUUAGAUUCUCUUAUGAUCUAGGUUUGAUUCCAUGGCCAGAAUCAAAAAGUAAGGGCACAUGGGGCUUAGGGGCAGGCCUAUACCACCAGAAAAAUACCCUGAUAGCCAACCGUCAAGGCUUAUAGAGAAUUUGGUAGUGGAAACACACUCAGUAAUCCAAGAAAGCAUUCUAGGAGGAAAACCAACUACCUUCAGGACAUUAAAUAGAAAGUUCCACUCUAUAGAGUCAUAUGCCUUAAGCAAAUCCACUUUGAUUGCACAUCUGGGAGUGCCACCUGACCUGUGAGAAUUCCUUAGAAACUGUUGCACAAGCAUGAUGUUCUCAGAAAUGGAUCUGCCCCGGAUAAAAGUGGAUUGCCUUCUAUCAACCAAUUUGGGAAUAA